AUGGCUUUUCAUUUCGAUCGGUUAGAAAGGUUACUUCAAAACGAAGAAAAUGAGGAAGGAUAUUGUUUACGGAGACAACGCGUUCUUCGUGAUCGGUUAAAUCCAUUGGACAUGUACGCCGACGUUGAUUUGUACAUGCGUUUUCGAUUUCGUCGCACAGAAAUAAUGCGAAUAACGGACCUACUCGCAAAUGACUUAAAGGCCCACUAUGCAACUUUUUUAGCCAAAAUUACAUUAAGUAUGCAGGUUGAGAGUUAUGCUGAUGGUUCUGCAUCCAUUUCUGGGUCGAUUGGUGGGUGUGUCAUUUACCCAUGUCGCCUCUCCAGUGAAAAAGCGCAUAUGCAACUUGCUCUGUUCGGACCGACACAAUCCGGAUGUGACGCAGCGGAAGUAUCCUCGGAAAUGUAGUCAGAUUGUAGUUUCGAAAAUGCUUUACGGCACAGACACACACCCAAACAUGGCACCGGCUAGAUAUAAACAGCCAGUUGCGAGGCAAUUGUUGCAUUCAUCAUGGAUCAAUCGACUGAUAAGGGACCCAAGAGGCGACCGUCGGUGGAACAAAAGAAGAAUGGACCAGAAAAGAGAUCAGACACGAGUGAAAGGGGAACUAUGCAACUUUUUUGGCUUGAUUUACCUUAAUAUAACAGGCUAAGAGUCAUUGCGAUGGUUCUAUUAUACAUUUUUGUUCGAUUGUUCGUUGUUUCGACUCACCCUUGCGCAUCUUGGCGGAGAAAAGGAAUAUGUUUCUGCCGGCGACCCGCCGCCCACUCUCGCGGGAGUCUCGGGUCUCGCAAAGUAACGAAUUGCUUUACGGCACAGACCCCCAAACACGGAACCGGCUCGAUAUAAACACAAGUCACUAAGGGAUUGUUAUAUUCAUCAUAGAUCAGCCGACUAAAAAGAGACAGAGAAACCCAAUGUCGGAGGAACAGAAGAAGAGAAAAGGGAGACUGACCGGCAGAGAGGCCAGACACGAACUGCAAAUCAGACGCCGACCCGGCCGUGUUGCUUUUGAAAUUGAAAGUACCCUUGGGUGGCCUUUGUCUUCGUGGUAUUCUUGAUGUUGAUAGUCUCUGUACAAAUGUGUUUGCUCAACCAUUUUGUUGUGAGCCCUGUAAAAAUUGUUUUAUCGACCGUUUUGUUGUGAGCCCUGUAUGUUUCUAGCUUGCUUGGUUGCAACCAUAUAAACACCUUUGUUUCCA